rnacentral:lncRNA from 1 species
GAAUUCUGAUGUGCUUCAGUGCACAGAACAGUAACAGAUGAGCUGCUUUUGGGGAGAGCUUGAGUACUCAGUCGGUCAGUAGUACAGUAGCAGGCUCACAUGUACGGAUUGUUCUUGUGAGAGCAUCAUCAUGGGGUCUAGUGCCACAGAGAUUGAAGAAUUGGAAAACACCACUUUUAAGUAUCUUACAGGAGAACAGACUGAAAAAAUGUGGCAGCGCCUGAAAGGAAACUAAGAUGCUUGGUGAAGCAGCUGGAAAGAGGUGAUGUUAACGUCGUCGA